ACAAAAAGGUGUAUCAAAAAAUUAAGAGACUUAUAAGAUAAGGUCUCUUCGUUAUGAAACACCGAUUCAUAGCCUUUCCCACGUGUGCACCACCAGAGAGAUGCAUUUGGCAUCCCAAUUUAAAUCAGACAUUUCUUAGAUUUUGCCAUGUGGUAGGAAAGCCUUAUUUGAUUUAAAUCAAGGCUUGAGACUCCUUGAUAACCAUCUCCUUCUGCCUU
rnacentral:lncRNA from 1 species